rnacentral:SRP_RNA from 1 species
GCCAGCUCUGUAGUCCCAGCUACUUGGGGGGCUGAGGUGGGAGGAUCGCUUGAGCCCAGGAGUUCUGGGCUGUAGUAUGCUAUGCCCAUCAGUGUCCACACUAAGUUCAGCGUCACUAUGGUGACCUUCUGGGAGCGGGGGAUCACCAGGUUGUCUAAGGAGGGGUGAACGAGCGUAGGUUGGAAACGGAGCCGGUCAAAACUCCCGGGCUGAUCAGUAGUGGGAUUGUGCCUGUGAAUAGUCGUUGCACUCCAGCCUGGGCAACAUAGUGAAACCCUGUCUCU